AGUGAACGCUGGCGGUAGGCCUAGCACAUGCAAGUCGAACGGCAGCACAGUAAGAGCUUGCUCUUACGGGUGGCGAGUGGCGGACGGGUGAGGAAUACAUCGGACUCUACUUUUUCGUGGGGGAUAACGUAGGGAAACUUACGCUAAUACCGCAUACGACCUACGGGUGAAAGCAGGGGAUCUUCGGACCUUGCGCGAUUGAAUGAGCCGAUGUCGGAUUAGCUAGUUGGCGGGGUAAAGGCCCACCAAGGCGACGAUACGUAGCUGGUCUGAGAGGAUGAUCAGCCACACUGGAACUGAGACACGGUCCAGACUCCUACGGGAGGCAGCAGUGGGGAAUAUUGGACAAUGGGCGCAAGCCUGAUCCAGCCAUACCGCGUGGGUGAAGAAGGCCUUCGGGUUGUAAAGCCCUUUUGUUGGGAAAGAAAAGCAGCAGGUUAAUACCCCGCUGUUCUGACGGUACCCAAAGAAUAAGCACCGGCUAACUUCGUG
rnacentral:rRNA from 1 species